UACUUGUCUGACAGAACUGGCCGUUAAAUCCAGGUGGACAGCCACAGAUGUAAGGAGGAAUGGAACCCGUAGAAGGUUGACAGACUCCUCCAUUUUGACAUUGGUUACUAGCACACGGGUCAAAAGCUGAUGACAAAAAGAUUUUCGGACUUGCUCGACUCUUCUGCCAGAGAAUCCUGUAUCCGCCACUAAAGCAAACCAUAUACUCACCUUGAAUAAGAGAUGAUGUCACAUUUACCCAGAAAACGCUGUAAUCUCUAACAAAGGCAAUACUUACGCGAUGUACACGUCACCAUUACCAAGAGUUGGUGCAGUCCAAAGAAAGGAAGUCGUCGAUGCCUUGUCCAGUCUGUUCCGAUGAGUGACAGCACCGUCCGUUUGGCCACAGGAGACUGUCUGGAAGUUGGUCGCGUCCGUGGCUGACCAAGAACCGAUGACAUCGUUGGUGUCCACUCUACGUGCUAGGAGAAGUAUCCCCUUAUACUGUCCAGCACCAGGGCUUGUAUUGAUAGUGACUAUAAUCAAUGUAAUCAAUAUGAAAAUCGUUUUUGAUUUUUGAAUUUUGAUAUAUAUAUAUUUUUUAAUAACUUUUUUGGUAAAUAGUUCAAAUGAAAUUAAUCGACGACUAAUCAUCGUUUUUUUAAAUUUUUAAAUCCCUUGCUUUAGAAAUGAGGAAGCUGCUUAUUGUAUGGCUAAAAUGCUUUUUUUUUAAAUUCUUGAUUAGCUUAUAAUGACAUUACCUUAUUAUCGAUAAUAUGUACAUGUACAUUCUCACCAUCUAACAUUUUAUCUACGUAUUGUUCGCUUUAAAGUCUAUCUGUACUUGUUUGGCCAGGAGGGAUUAGACCUCCCUGCAUGGUCACUGACAUGUGCUUUCUCAUCAAAACAGCUCUCAAGUAACAUAAGUAAAAGGGGAGCAUGGGGGACCAAUGGUCACCGAUUAAGCAUUGUUUUCUAUUUAGAGGGCGCAAGUAGCUAUAAGUACUGCAGU